rnacentral:siRNA from 1 species
GCUUCGUCUCCUUACGCCAUGAC